GUGAUCUGCCUGCCUUGGCCUCCCAAGGUGCUGGGAUUACAGGUGUGAGCCACUGCACCCAGCCAAGAAUAGGCUUUGGAUUGGAGUUUAGGGUCAGCACAGCAUGGGUGUCACAAGCUUCCUCCUGUCCCCAGCUGUUCCGAUGGCCCCACUAUGGGGCUCCACUGGCUGGGGAGUGUCUGUCUGUGCAGGUGGUCAACUGCAGCCGUGUAUUCAGCCCUAGGCCUCUAGGGACCCUGGUGAUCUCCCUGCAGCAGCUACAGAAUGCUGGGCAUUUGGUGCUACGGGAAGCCCUAGUGGAUGAGAAUCUUCGAGUGUCCCCGAUCCAGGUGGAGCUUGACCUGAAGUACCAGCCCCCAGAGGGCGCUAUUGGAGCCUGGUCAGAGGAGGAGUUUGGGGCACCCAUCCAGGACAGCUUGGAGUUAAUCGUCCCCAAUGUGGGCUUCCAGGAACUGGAGCCUGGGGAGGCCCAGCUGGAGCGGCGGGCAGUGGCUCUAGGCUGCAGGCUAGCUCGAAGCCUAGGCCAGCAGGACGAUGAGGAGAAUGAGCUGGAGCUUGAGCUGGAGCAGGACCUGGAUGAUGAGCCUGACGUGGAACUUUCUGGUCUUAUGUUCAGCCCCCUCAAGAGCCGCACCAGGGCUCUGGCCCAUGGGGAUCCCUUCCAGGUGUCCAGAGCUCAAGACUUCCAGGUGGGAGUCACAGUGCUGGAAGCCCAGAAACUGGUUGG
rnacentral:sRNA from 1 species